rnacentral:rRNA from 1 species
GAUGAACGCUGGCGGCGUGCCUAAUACAUGCGAGUCGAGCGAACAGACGAGGAGCUUGCUCCUCUGACGUUAGCGGCGGACGGGUGAGUAACACGUGGAUAACCUACCUAUAAGACUGGGAUAACUUCGGGAAACCGGAGCUAAUACCGGAUAAUAUAUUGAACCGCAUGGUUCAAUAGUGAAAGACGGUUUUGCUGUCACUUAUAGAUGGAUCCGCGCCGCAUUAGCUAGUUGGUAAGGUAACGGCUUACCAAGGCAACGAUGCGUAGCCGACCUGAGAGGGUGAUCGGCCACACUGGAACUGAGACACGGUCCAGACUCCUACGGGAGGCAGCGGUAGGGAAUCUUCCGCAAUGGGCGAAAGCCUGACGGAGCAACGCCGCGUGAGUGAUGAAGGUCUUCGGAUCGUAAAACUCUGUUAUUAGGGAAGAACAAAUGUGUAAGUAACUAUGCACGUCUUGACGGUACCUAAUCAGGAAGCCACGGCUAACUACGUG